rnacentral:rRNA from 1 species
GAUGAACGCUGGCGGCGUGCCUAAUACAUGCAAGUCGAGCGAACAGACGAGGAGCUUGCUCCUCUGACGUUAGCGGCGGACGGGUGAGUAACACGUGGAUAACCUACCUAUAAGACUGGGAUAACUUCGGGAAACCGGAGCUAAUACCGGAUAAUAUAUUGAACCGCAUGGUUCAAUAGUGAAAGACGGUUUUGCUGUCACUUAUAGAUGGAUCCGCGCCGCAUUAGCUAGUUGGUAAGGUAACGGCUUACCAAGGCAACGAUGCGUAGCCGACCUGAGAGGGUGAUCGGCCACACUGGAACUGAGACACGGUCCAGACUCCUACGGGAGGCGGCAGUAGGGAAUCUUCCGCAAUGGGCGAAAGCCUGACGGAGCAACGCCGCGUGAGUGAUGAAGGUCUUCGGAUCGUAAAACUCUGUUAUUAGGGAAGAACAAAUGUGUAAGUAACUAUUCACGUCUUGACGGUACCUAAUCAGAAAGCCACGGCUAACUACGUG